rnacentral:rRNA from 1 species
UACGGAGGGUGCAAGCGUUAAUCGGAAUUACUGGGCGUAAAGCGCACGCAGGUGGCUGAGUCAGUCGAUUGUGAAAGCCCUGAGCUUAACCUGGGAAUUGCAGUCGAUACUACUCAGCUAGAGUAUGGGAGAGGGUAGUGGAAUUCCCGGUGUAGCGGUGAAAUGCGUAGAUAUCGGGAGGAACAUCAGUGGCGAAAGCGGCUUCCUGGUCCAGCACCGACGUUCAGGCACGAAAGCGUGGGGAGCAAACAGG